CGUUGUCCGGAUUUAUUGGGCGUAAAGAGCGUGUAGGCGGCUUUACAGGUCCGUUGUGAAAACUCGAGGCUCAACCUCGAGACGCCGGUGGAAACCGUAAAGCUAGAGUCCGGAAGAGGAGAGUGGAAUUCCUGGUGUAGCGGUGAAAUGCGCAGAUAUCAGGAGGAACACCCGUGGCGAAAGCGGCUCUCUGGGACGGUACUGACGCUGAGACGCGAAAGCGUGGGGAGCAAACAGG
rnacentral:rRNA from 1 species